rnacentral:rRNA from 1 species
AAAGCUUGCUUUUGAUGGGCGUCGACCGGCGCACGGGUGAGUAACGCGUAUCCAACCUGCCCAUCACUUGGGGAUAACCUUGCGAAAGUAAGACUAAUACCCAAUGACGUCUCUAGAAGACAUCCGAUAGUAUAUUAAAACCGCAUGGUUUUACUAUUAAAGAAUUUCGGUUAUCGAUGGGGAUGCGUUCCAUUAGUUUGUUGGCGGGGUAACGGCCCACCAAGGCGACGAUCAGUAGCCGGACUGAGAGGUUGAACGGCCACAUUGGGACUGAGAUACGGCCCAGACUCC